GUAAGUAUUUUUUUUUCUACGAUAUUAGAAAAUAAAUACAUUCUCUUUUUCAUUUAUUUAAUUUCUUGUUUAAGGGCAGAUCGUAGUGGCGGAAGUUAAUCCUUUAAUUCCUUCCAUUGUAAUAGAUUCCGAUAUCGAGGAUUUUCUUAUGUCAGACCUCGAUUUGGAAACCAUCACAGCGACCGAACAACGCUCAAAUAUUCGGACAGAGAGAGAAUUUCUUCCGCAACCAAACAGUUUGCCCCAAAAUAAUAACAAUUCGGCGGCCUACCAAAACGUGCGCCUUCCUCCUUAUGUUCCUCGGACCUUCCAUCCGCAGACUGUACAGGGGACGCUGCAGCCCGGGUCACUUCAAUCAUCUCCUCUACACACCCCCAGCUCCGUCUGGCCGGUUCAUCAAACGCUUCGGACCGACAGCCAGCCUGCUAUUGCGUCCCACGCCGCAGCGCAUCCCCCAGGGUUUCGACCCGUCAGCCAGCCGGGUGCUCUGUCUCCUCAGCUCCCAGGCUCUCGCUCGACCAGCCACCAAAGUUCCGAGCACAUCGCGGAAGCUGGGACGGAGGGGAGUGCAGCCCAGGAGGGGAGCGCUCCACAG